GUGACUGCGUACCUUUUGUAUAAUGGGUCAGCGACUUAUAUUCUGUAGCAAGGUUAACCGAAUAGGGGAGCCGGAGGGAAACCGAGUCUUAAUUGGGCGUUAAGUUGCAGGGUAUAGACCCGAAACCCGGUGAUCUAGCCAUGGGCAGGUUGAAGGUUGGGUAACACUAACUGGAGGACCGAACCGACUAAUGUUGAAAAAUUAGCGGAUGACCUGUGGCUGGGGGUGAAAGGCCAAUCAAACCGGGAGAUAGCUGGUUCUCCCCGAAAGCUAUUUAGGUAGCGCCUCGUGAAUUCAUCUCCGGGGGUAGAGCACUGUUUCGGCUAGGGGGCCAUCCCGGCUUACCAACCCGAUGCAAACUGCGAAUACCGGAGAAUGUUAUCACGGGAGACACACGGCGGGUGCUAACGUCCGUCGUGAAGAGGGAAACAACCCAGACCGCCAGCUAAGGUCCCAAAGUCAUGGUUAAGUGGGAAACGAUGUGGGAAGGCCCAGACAGCCAGGAUGUUGGCUUAGAAGCAGCCAUCAUUUAAAGAAAGCGUAAUAGCUCACUGGUCGAGUCGGCCUGCGCGGAAGAUGUAACGGGGCUAAACCAUGCACCGAAGCUGCGGCAGCGACGCUGAUGCGUUGUUGGGUAGGGGAGCGUUCUGUAAGCCUGCGAAGGUGGCCUGUGAGGGUUGCUGGAGGUAUCAGAAGUGCGAAUGCUGACAUAAGUAACGAUAAAGCGGGUGAAAAGCCCGCUCGCCGGAAGACCAAGGGUUCCUGUCCAACGUUAAUCGGGGCAGGGUGAGUCGACCCCUAAGGCGAGGCCGAAAGGCGUAGUCGAUGGGAAACGGGUUAAUAUUCCCGUACUUGGUGUUACUGCGAAGGGGGGACGGAGAAGGCUAUGUUGGCCGGGCGACGGUUGUCCCGGUUUAAGCGUGUAGGUGUGUGUUCCAGGUAAAUCCGGUUCACUUUAACACUGAGGCGUGAUGACGAGGCACUACGGUGCUGAAGCAACAAAUGCCCUGCUUCCAGGAAAAGCCUCUAAGCAUCAGGUAACAUCAAAUCGUACCCCAAACCGACACAGGUGGUCAGGUAGAGAAUACCAAGGCGCUUGAGAGAACUCGGGUGAAGGAACUAGGCAAAAUGGUGCCGUAACUUCGGGAGAAGGCACGCUGACACGUAGGUGAAGUGAUUUACUCAUGGAGCUGAAGUCAGUCGAAGAUACCAGCUGGCUGCAACUGUUUAUUAAAAACACAGCACUGUGCAAACACGAAAGUGGACGUAUACGGUGUGACGCCUGCCCGGUGCCGGAAGGUUAAUUGAUGGGGUCAGCGCAAGCGAAGCUCCUGAUCGAAGCCCCGGUAAACGGCGGCCGUAACUAUAACGGUCCUAAGGUAGCGAAAUUCCUUGUCGGGUAAGUUCCGACCUGCACGAAUGGCGUAAUGAUGGCCAGGCUGUCUCCACCCGAGACUCAGUGAAAUUGAACUCGCUGUGAAGAUGCAGUGUACCCGCGGCAAGACGGAAAGACCCCGUGAACCUUUACUAUAGCUUGACACUGAACAUUGAGCCUUGAUGUGUAGGAUAGGUGGGAGGCUUUGAAGUGUGGACGCCAGUCUGCAUGGAGCCGACCUUGAAAUACCACCCUUUAAUGUUUGAUGUUCUAACGUGGACCCGUGAUCCGGGUUGCGGACAGUGUCUGGUGGGUAGUUUGACUGGGGCGGUCUCCUCCUAAAGAGUAACGGAGGAGCACGAAGGUUGGCUAAUCCUGGUCGGACAUCAGGAGGUUAGUGCAAUGGCAUAAGCCAGCUUGACUGCGAGCGUGACGGCGCGAGCAGGUGCGAAAGCAGGUCAUAGUGAUCCGGUGGUUCUGAAUGGAAGGGCCAUCGCUCAACGGAUAAAAGGUACUCCGGGGAUAACAGGCUGAUACCGCCCAAGAGUUCAUAUCGACGGCGGUGUUUGGCACCUCGAUGUCGGCUCAUCACAUCCUGGGGCUGAAGUAGGUCCCAAGGGUAUGGCUGUUCGCCAUUUAAAGUGGUACGCGAGCUGGGUUUAGAACGUCGUGAGACAGUUCGGUCCCUAUCUGCCGUGGGCGCUGGAGAACUGAGGGGGGCUGCUCCUAGUACGAGAGGACCGGAGUGGACGCAUCACUGGUGUUCGGGUUGUCAUGCCAAUGGCACUGCCCGGUAGCUAAAUGCGGAAGAGAUAAGUGCUGAAAGCAUCUAAGCACGAAACUUGCCCCGAGAUGAGUUCUCCCUGAGACUU
rnacentral:rRNA from 3 species